CUAGACAGGUGGGCCUUGAUCCCACAAACCCCUAGUUAACAGCUAGAUGCCCAAACCUGCGGGCUUCCGUCUA
rnacentral:tRNA from 3 species